AUCAUGUCGUUUCUCCUCCUCCAAGUCUCUAUCACAUGGUAUGCAAAUAAAUUUGGAUUAAAACAAGCAUCAAGGGACUUCCAUGAGGGCAGAAGGAGCUGGUUGAGGAGUUCAAAUGACCUGCAUCGAUUAUCUUCAGGGACAUUGAAGUGUGCUCCGCAGACAGUGAUAACAUGCCCAGGAUAUUACACUCAGAACCAUGUGAAGUUUGUGUCUUGGUUUGGAAUUUUGGGUCACACAUUGGCCAAGUAGGAAGUGUGCAUUCAACUGCCAACCUGCAAGGACGCAGCUCGGCCUGAGGGAGAUGUUUUCCUUCGCCUGGAGCUGAGCUGCGGACAGUUCCGUUUAUUUGCCAUCUCCCUUUUUUCAGAAACAGGUAAUUUUUCUUUGGCUUACCCAAAGGGCCCAAGGUCUUUGUCUUUUGUUUUUUCUGAAUGAUCCUAUAAAACAAAGCACUAAGUUUUUGUUAUUGACAAUGCCCCUAGGAAAACCUAUCUCGCGUGAGCUUGUUCACCACUAUAAUUCCAAUAUUUUUCUUGUUAUUGUUCAUAGUGUAGUCUUUUAGUUUCCUGUGAGCUUGGCUUUUCAUUAAAAAACAAGUUUAUUAGGUUGUAUGUAUCAUUUUUGGGUAUUCUAUAGUUGGAUGGCUUGAAAAUAUAUAGUCUACCACAAUGCUACAAAUGAAAUUCAGCUUUACCUACUUUGAAACACACAAACAAAUAAAAAUCAGUGAGCAAAUAAAUUCCACAGCUGCAAGAUGGACUUGAAGAAUAGGAAAUGUGCUGGAGACCCGAACUAGCCCUUGCCAGGAACUCAAGUUAAAACUCUCCUUGGGGCCAGCUCCGUAGCCAAGUGGUUAAGUUCACGUGCUCUGCUGCGGGGGCCCAGGGUUAGGAUCCUGGGCGCGGACAUGGCAC
rnacentral:lncRNA from 1 species